rnacentral:miRNA from 1 species
GGCUUGUUCAGUAGACAAGAAUGACUUGCCUACAUUCGUCCCUAAGAUGUUUGGUCCCAUCAGCCACAAAAAAAAGUUCAGAGAAUACAUAUAUUUUCGUUAGUUUUGCAGGCAGUCAACUUGGCUAACUCGACAGGCUCU